rnacentral:rRNA from 1 species
GUCUACAGCCAUUCCACCCUGAAUGUGCCCGAUCUUGUCUGAUCUCAGAAGCUAAGCAGGGUCGGGCCUGGUUAGUAUUUGGAUGGGAGAAGAUAACCUACUUAUAUGCAUUUUAAAACAUAUAUAGCAUUAUAAAUU